GGCAGCAGGCGAGCAACCAGGCUUCUCCAAUGCAAUGUGGCGAGAUUGGUCUCGUCACAAUGGUCUUUGUCAACUUUUUGUCUUGGACAUAGACACUCGUCUCUACUCUUGUUUUUUGACUUCAUCUAGUUGUUCCGCCAGAAGCGUCCUAGAUAAAACCCUGUUUAUAAAAUCUAUCCACCAUAUUUUUCAAUUGAAUGUCCGAUACCAUCUUUUGACCCUCAUUAACUGGCUUUUAGGUAAAGC